rnacentral:rRNA from 1 species
CCCUAACCGUGCAAAGGUAGCAUAAUCAUUUGCCUUUUAAUUGGAGGCUUGUAUGAAUGGUUUGACGAGGGCUAAGCUGUCUCUUUUGAAAUAUUUAGAAAUUAACUUUUAGGUGAAGAGGCCUAAAUUUGGCUGAGGGACAAGAAGACCCUGUUGAGCUUUAGUGUUAUAUUAAAUGAAUAAAGCUAAUUUGUAGCGAGGAUGGAUUUAGGUGUAAUGAAAUUUUAAUAUAAAUCUUUAGUUGGGGCGACUGAGGAACAGCUAAAGCUUCCUUUAGCUUAAGAGGUAUAUAAGGUAUCUUAGGAUAGUGUGUGCUUACGAGUUGUUUUGAUCCAGUAAAAUGCUGAUUAAAGGAAAAAGUUACCACAGGGAUAACAGCGUAAUCUUUCUGGAGAGAUCUUAUCGAAAGAAGGGUUUGCGACCUCGAUGUUGGACUAA